rnacentral:misc_RNA from 1 species
GAGCACGAUCUUCAUCUCUAUGAGUUUGCCAUAUCAAAUCUCCAUAAAGAGACAAAGCAUUUCCAUCAUUUGGCUUUGCCAAGAUCGCUCUCUCACAGUACUCUUCGGCUUUAACUGCAUCUCCUUUCACCUCCUUCAGAAACCUCGCGUAAUUGCUUAAGAUUAGAGCAUCGCCAGGAUAAGCUUCGAUCAUCUUCUGAUAAUACUCAUCUACACUUCCACUCCCACGACCUGAAUCUCCACAGCUGUCACCGAACCAAUUUUCACCGCCGCCACUUCCGCUUC